CAGCAGCCGCGGUAAUACCGGCGGCCCGAGUGGCGGUCACUAUUAUUGGGCUUAAAGCGUCCGUAGCCGGGUUGGGAAGUCCUCCGGGAAAUCUGGCCGCUUAAAGGUCAGAAUGCCGGAGGAUACUCCCAGCCUAGGGAGCGGGAGAGGCCGGGGGUAUUCCCGGAGUAGGGGUGAAAUCCUAUAAUCCCGGGAGGACCACCUGUGGCGAAGGCGCUCGGCUGGAACGCGUCCGACGGUGAGGGACGAAGGCCAGGGGAGCAAACCGGAUUAGAUACCCGGGUAGUCCUGGCGGUAAACGAUGCGGACUUUGUGUCGGACAAGCUAUGAGCUUGUCCGGUGCCGGAGGGAAACCGUUAAGUCCGCCGCCUGGGGAGUACGGCCGCAAGGCUGAAACUUAAAGGAAUUGGCGGG
rnacentral:rRNA from 1 species